GAGUAUGGCGGCCAUAGCGGCAGGGCCACUCCUGUUCCCAUUCCGAACACAGAAGAUAAGCCUGCCCACGUUGCUUACUGUACUGAGGUACGAGAGUCCUCGGGAAAUCUGCGUCGCUGCUAUGCUC
rnacentral:rRNA from 1 species